rnacentral:rRNA from 1 species
GACGAACGCUGGCGGCGUGCCUAAUACAUGCAAGUCGAGCGAGCGGAACUAACCGAUUUACUUCGGUAAUGACGUUAGGAAAGCGAGCGGCGGAUGGGUGAGUAACACGUGGGGAACCUGCCCCAUAGUCUGGGAUACCACUUGGAAACAGGUGCUAAUACCGGAUAAGAAAGCAGAUCGCAUGAUCAGCUUUUAAAAGGCGGCGUAAGCUGUCGCUAUGGGAUGGCCCCGCGGUGCAUUAGCUAGUUGGUAAGGUAAAGGCUUACCAAGGCGAUGAUGCAUAGCCGAGUUGAGAGACUGAUCGGCCACAUUGGGACUGAGACACGGCCCAAACUCCUACGGGAGGCAGCAGUAGGGAAUCUUCCACAAUGGACGCAAGUCUGAUGGAGCAACGCCGCGUGAGUGAAGAAGGUUUUCGGAUCGUAAAGCUCUGUUGUUGGUGAAGAAGGAUAGAGGUAGUAACUGGCCUUUAUUUGACGGUAAUCAACCAGAAAGUCACGGCUAACUACGUG